rnacentral:rRNA from 1 species
AUUGAACGCUGGCGGCAUGCCUUACACAUGCAAGUCGAACGGUAACGGGCCUUCGGGUGCCGACGAGUGGCGAACGGGUGAGUAAUACAUCGGAACGUGCCCGAUCGUGGGGGAUAACGAGGCGAAAGCUUUGCUAAUACCGCAUACGAUCUACGGAUGAAAGCAGGGGACCGCAAGGCCUUGCGCGGACGGAGCGGCCGAUGGCAGAUUAGGUAGUUGGUGGGAUAAAAGCUUACCAAGCCGACGAUCUGUAGCUGGUCUGAGAGGAUGAUCAGCCACACUGGGACUGAGACACGGCCCAGACUCCUACGGGAGGCAGCAGUGGGGAAUUUUGGACAAUGGGCGCAAGCCUGAUCCAGCCAUGCCGCGUGCAGGAUGAAGGCCUUCGGGUUGUAAAUUGCUUUUGUACGGAACGAAAAGCCUUCUUUUAAUACAGGAGGGUCAUGACGGUACCGUAAGAAUAAGCACCGGCUAACUACGUG